GAUGAACGCUGGCGGCGUGCCUAACACAUGCAAGUCGAACGAAGCUUGACGGAUGAUUUCUUCGGAAUGAAACCAGAUAUGACUUAGUGGCGGACGGGUGAGUAACACGUGAGCAACCUGCCUUUCAGAGGGGGAUAACGGCUGGAAACGGUCGCUAAGACCGCAUGAUGUGUUCGGAUGGCAUCAUCUGAACAUCAAAGAUUUAUCGCUGAAAGAUGGGCUCGCGUCUGAUUAGAUAGUUGGUGGGGUAACGGCCUACCAAGUCUACGAUCAGUAGCCGGACUGAGAGGUUGAACGGCCACAUUGGGACUGAGAUACGGCCCAGACUCCUACGGGAGGCAGCAGUGGGGAAUAUUGCACAAUGGGGGAAACCCUGAUGCAGCAACGCCGCGUGAAGGAUGACGGUUUUCGGAUUGUAAACUUCUUUUCUUAGUGACGAAGACAGUGACGGUAGCUAAGGAAUAAGCAUCGGCUAACUACGUG
rnacentral:rRNA from 1 species